rnacentral:tRNA from 1 species
GGGGAUGUAGCUCAGUGGUAGAGCACUUGCCUAGCACAUGUGAGGCCCUGGGUUGAAUCCCCAGCACCA